UUUGCCACCCCAGGACGUUGAAACAUUGAAGGCUGACUUUUCCGCUGCUUUUUUCGCAUCACGCUCUUUUCGAACUGCUUCGUACUCCUGCAAAUCGUCCAAACGCAGAUCGAUCCUCGUCGGACUACGCCUUAUCAUUGUUUCUGAAAAAUACAUUGCAUUUAUUAAUUCAAGUGUGACGUUCGAGAACUGCAGUUUCGGACGCUUCUGAGCUGCUCAAUACGAAUUUGCAGACCAUAAAUAUCGGCCACCCUCAAUUUGCAGUGUUUUCUUGUUAAACUACUUGGAAAACGGUGCAUUUGUGCAUCCAAAAAUAAGUAAAUCGAAUGACAAUAACGUUAAGAGUAUUUAUCACCGAGGGAAGUUACAGGGUUGCAGCUGCUUCGUUAAAAAAUGUUAGAGAUUUGUAAGAAAUGAAAAUUGACAACUGGACAACGAAAUAAAUGCACGUUUGUUUCUGAAAAUCAAUAAUUCGUUAUCCCGCUUCGAUCGAUUUUUAUUUAAACAAUUUAACUGCACGAUUUGUAGGUUCAAUUUUGACACGAAUAAAAUUUCGUAGGAAAACCCGUCAGAAUUAUUCAGAAUGCAAUGAAAAAUUGAAAAAAAAACGAAUUUCUGGUAAAUAAUUAUUAUUUUUACUUAUUUUCAAUCAUAAUAAUGUUGAACCGUUUUAUCAACUACCGUAGUCGAGGAAUAUUCGAAUAGAAUGUUUUUGAUAUUUAAACGCAUCACGGUUAAUUGUUGUUGAACUUCAAAAUGAUGCCAAAUAUUCGUUCAAGUACAUUCCCGGUUAAUUUAAUUUUCUGAAGUAAAAAUUCUAAAAUUUUUCUUGAAUGCGGUUUCAAAAGGGAACCCGUAAAAUACGCUCCUGAGCCGACACCAACAUGGAGGACGUCAGUCAAAUAGACAAAUGCGUGCAAUAUCUGACGAAUUAUGAAUUAAAUAAUCAAUGAAAAUCUGUUGAUAUUUUAGCCUCUAUUUAAUAAGAAUAAAUUUUAUUAUUAAGACGAUAGAAUAGUUGAACGGAUGCCACAGCAGUAUAAAAUCGAUAUUAGGAACCAAAAAAAUGUUGCGGUCCAAGUGAGCAUUUUAAGUCGCUGUAAACACGCAUUCGAUCGCAUCGUCUGUAUUUUUUCAUUAUAUUUCACACUAAAACGCCAACCCACCUUCGUUUUAUUGUAUAUAUUAGGAUUACUAAGAUAGCCGCUAAGUACGAGACCAAGGGAAAGGAUGCUUUACUUGGAAGAUUAUGUCGAAAUGAUCGAACACCUCCCGCAAGAAUUGAGGGACCGUUUCACAGAAAUGAGAGAAAUGGACUUGGGUGUACAGAAUUCGGUGGAUAGCUUGGAGAAAAAAGUCAAGACUUUCUUCUGUAAUGCAAAAAAAAUGAAAUCCAGUGAAAAAGAGGCGGAAUACGAAGCGAUUAGGAAAGAGUAUUAUAAAACGCUGGAGGAUGCGGAUGAAAAAGUACAUCUUGCAAAUCAGAUGUACGAUCUAGUCGAUAGGUAUUUGAGGAGAUUAGAUCAAGAGCUGCAUAAAUUCAAAAUGGAACUGGAGGCCGACAACAAGGGAAUUACCGAAAUUUUAGAAAAAAGAUCUUUGGAAUUAGAUCAACCGCCUACAAAUAGCAGUCAAAAAGAAAAUCGCUAUAGUUUUACUUCGAGUAGAUCUCGGGACAAUCAUAGUCAUUCACGAGGGGAAAAGCGAAGAGACUCGAACGCGUCAUCGGCUUCGGUUGAGAAGCGAUUAGCAGUAGAAAAAGUACCAUCGAAUCUUCCAGAAUCUCGACCGGCGUCGGCAAAUUCAGGGCCGAUAAUACCUCCCGCGAAUUUACCCCCGACACCAACGGCGAUUGCGAAUUCGGUUGGUUCGGUCAGUUACAAUUUAGGUCAUAUCGGAGUUUCGGGUGGUAACGCGAUAGCAGCGGCCGCGUCUCAGGCGAUAGCGGCUACGCAGCACAUGCAACAGGGUCGUCGAACAGCGAGUCUCAAGGCCAGUUACGAAGCGAUCAAUAUAGGAGUCCACGCUUCGGAGUUCAGUAGAGAAUUGGCUGGUGCGGCGCAAACAGCGAUCGCGGCGAUUCAGGAAACGACAAAGAAGCACAAAAAAAAAGUCACUACUGCCGCUCCGAGCUCGAGUGUCGUUAGUACGACGAUACAACAACCGGCUUCGCCACCUGUCGCUACAGCUACAACCGCUAUCACCGAUCCCGACAAUCCCGAUUGGACUUACGAUCCUAACGAACCUAGAUAUUGCAUAUGCAAUCAAGUAUCUUACGGUGAUAUGGUCGCCUGUGACAAUUCUGAUUGUCCGUUCGAGUGGUUCCACUAUCCAUGCGUGGGAAUAACGGCUCCGCCGAAAGGCAAAUGGUACUGUCCUCAAUGUACAUCUUCUAUGAAGAGGCGAGGAGGGCGAAAGAACUGAUUCGAUUAAGCCACAAAUCGAAACUGUAUUGAAACGAGGGUUAUUAUUUUGAGAUCUCGCCAUUCCAGCAGCUGGUUUUCUGCUCCACGCGUUUUUCCGACCACGAAAAUGUCUCGCUCGCGUUCCGUCACAGAACCGAAUCGUUCGACAGUUUUUAUUUACCAAACUAUCCGGAGGGGCAGCCAUUAGUUCAAAAUGAUCGAGUGUUCGUGCAAACCUUACGUCCCGCAGGCCAUCGACGUACAUUCAGCACCUUGGAAAACGACCUACCAACGUUCAUACUUUGCUGACAACGCGGUCUAUCAUCCGCUCGUGAACAUACGUACCAAGACGCGCCCUCAAGACGAUGAGAAAUUCCAAAAAUUUUCCGAUCUCGAACCACUCCGGAGUAACAGUCAACGAACCUUUGUACCUAAAUAUUUACAGAAUUCUACUUCCACCGACUAUUAUCGAAGAAUCGGAUUCAUCUCUAAAGACACUCUCAAGGAUUUGCACGAUAAAUACGUUGCAGAUCCACCGAGACCGCUGAAAACCGGUCCCUCCGCUUAUGGUAUUGGCUUUUUACAUUUGUUCGCUGCUCGUUCUCAAACCUUGUUGAAACGAGAAAAAAAAUCGUUUUUUCUGCACAGAAAAUUAUUUGCUUAUUAAAUAUUCACAUUUCGUUACGAAGAAUGUCUUUACGAGUCUCUUAAAUGUGAAAAAAUUUGGAGUAAUGAACUAAAUAUUUUAAUACUCCUCACCAGGAAAUAAAAUUCAUUGAAAUUUGUAUCAAUUAUCAAAGGUUCGUCGUAUGUUUUACCGCAAAAACCGAGAGAAGAAACACAAUGGCCACGACUGAGUCCCGCCGAAGAAUUUACCCUCCACAUUCCUAAUCACUCUAAAGAAUGUUACAAAAUUUUCCCACCGAUUACAUCGGGCUACACGAAACAUUUGGACAUAUAUUUAACAACUACGCAGGGGACCCACUGUGACUUCACUCCUGAGCAGCGCAGAAACGCCCUUAGACGAGACAAAUUGGGACCUUACGGCCCAUAUUUCCAUCGAGAUGCUCGAGAGAAGAAUUAUAAAAUCAAAUUCACCCCGAGCGUUCCAUUCUUUGGGACAACGAGCACUUAUAAGGCUGCUUACGAUUUCGUUCCUACGAACUUAAUGGCCCGAGAGGGAGACGUUAAUUAUCCGCCUGCCUGGAAAGCCAUCGACAAUCCUAAUUAUUACACCGAGCAACGUCACAUGGGAACUGGCUGGCCGGUUCGAGCAGUGUUGGACAUCGGUACCGUGCCUGGCACUCAUUAAAAUUUUCAUGUUUAUCGAUUUGUACGAGAAUUCAAGGAGAAAAUAAUAAAAUUUUACGGCCCUCGUA
rnacentral:misc_RNA from 1 species